rnacentral:lncRNA from 1 species
CUAUGGAAAUGCCUUGAGAUUUAUUUUAUAAUUAAAGUUUGGAUAACUUUUGAAAAACUUAUUAUCACCCAAGCAAAAAUUUAGAAAAAUCUGAGUAAUUUUAUGUCAAAUAUACAGAUAGAUAGCAAGUCCCAAUUCAGAAGCUAGAAGUUUCCUCAAACAAAAGGACUUCACUGCUAAGAUAUAAACCUAUUUUGCAAUUUAUUCUUCAACUUUUUUAAAAUUGAGAGAUACACUACGGAACUUCUGCUGUUAGAUUUAGAAAUCAGUUAAAACAUCAAAUAUUGGUAAUGACUCAAAAGGAGCAUUAUGUAAGCCUACAGUUGAGAACAUUUUCUUGCAAAAAUGAAAAAUAUAAAAACAUCCAAAGUCUAUAUUUUACAGAUAUAUUCUGAUUUCUCAAGAACUCAAUAAUUCAGAAAUAAUGUAGGAAAAACUGGCUGACAUAAAACAAAGAAUUCUUCCCUACGAUUUCAUUAAACUAACAUUCUAGAUUAACGUAUAUAAUAUUUUAUUGCAACCAAAUCACAAAGAGCCCACAUUUAAGAUAUAAGAGAAAGCAUCAGUUGUGUGACAAGAUUUUGCUAACUCUCAACAGUCUUUUUUUUUUUUUAAAGCAAUGGGUAGCCAAUGAAAGUCAUUAAUAUUAAAAACACAGAUAAUGGCAGAAAACUA